CCUACGGGAGGCUGCAGUGGGGAAUAUUGGGCAAUGGGCGCAAGCCUGACCCAGCAACGCCGCGUGAAGGAAGAAGGCUUUCGGGUUGUAAACUUCUUUUAAGAGGGAAGAGCAGAAGACGGUCCCUCUUGAAUAAGCCACGGCUAACUACGUACCAGCAGCCGCGGUUAUACGUAGGGGGCAAGCGUUCGCCGGAUUGACUGGGUGUAAAGGGCGUGUAGGCGGGACGGAAAGUCAGAUGUGAAAAUUAGGGGCCCAACCCAUAGCCUGCAUUUGAAACUGUAGUUCUUGAGGGAUGGAGAGGCAGGCGGAAUUCCGAGUGUAGCGGUGAAAUGCGUAGAUAUACGGAGGAACACCAGUGGCGAAGGCGGCCUGCUGGACAUUAACUGACGCUGAGGCGCGAAAGCGUGGGGAGCAAACAGGAUUAGAUACCCGUGUAGUC
rnacentral:rRNA from 1 species